UGUAAAUUCAGUGACUCUGUCUGGGAAAGUAUAGCAAUUAUAUCCUAUAAAAAUUACUGUGAUACUGGAAAGGUAUAACACUAAUAACCUUGGGAAGCUAUAACAUUAAACAGUAACAAUUAGAAUGAAGAGAAUAAAGACACAAAUUUAAAUUCAUAGUGUACUGUAUUAGCACUUUUAUGACUGGUUUUAGUAGUGCAAGUGGCUACAGCUUUUCAGGUGGAUUAUAGCACUGGUGAGAAGAGACCUUUCUUGAUCUUAUUCUUGUGUUCUCACUCUUGUUCUCCUUUUCACUGUAAAAUUCCUGAGAGAAUUAGCCAAGGAUGCAGAAUAUGAUCAGAAAUCUGGGGCCAUAAGAAGCUGGAGCAGCAAAACACAUUCACAGUGCAGCCAGCCCUUGGCUCCCAGAAUUCCCAAAACAAGUGUGCUCCCUUCAGAAAUACAGUCCUUGGAGUAGGAGGCUAACAGAGCUAAGGUGAAGGAUCUAAAACCUGAAAAGAGGCCAAAUGAUUCCUCAAAACCACGCAAGUACGAAGUAGCAGAGCGGAUCUCAAAUCCAGAGCACUGCGUGUUUUGAAAUAUACAAAUAGUGGGAAACGAAAUCUUUGUUCUGGAUGCAGUUAUAAUUUGGAAAGCGAGGAAAUAAAUUAUAACAAGGGGAAAAAACAGACACAGAGGGAUUGAAAUGCAUAACAAUAGAGAUGAAACACGAAGAGUGAUAAAUGAAGAUUGAGUGUGCACACCUUCUGGAGGAGCCCUGAUUGAGUAUUUUAAAAUACUACUAAAGUCAUGCCGUGUGACUUCUGAAGCUAGCUCCUAAGAAGUCCUUGCAGCUUCUGCCUGCGACUCUUAGAACACUUGCUUUGAAGGAUGCCAGAUGCUGUCUUAAAAGUCUGAGCACUCUGAAACCAUCAUGCUGUGAGGAAGCCCAAGCUAACCACAUGGGCAAAAAAGAUGCCCUCUGACUGCCACCAUUUGAGACACUCUAAUUAAGAACUGCCUCAUUGAGCCCAUGAGGCCCUGUGAAUGAUAAUAAUAAAUUGUUUUUAACCACUAUGUUUUUGGAUUUGUUAUAAGUUUAUAGAUAACAAGAAAAAGUUAUAUUAGCAUGGUAAUAAAAU
rnacentral:lncRNA from 1 species